GACUGGACCUAAUGGUCAGGGGUCCCUUUACCUUUACCCUUGCUAUUUACUUUUUAGGAAUUCAAGGUGGCCUGCAUCGUUUGCUUCCUUCACAUUUUAUCCUCACAACCACGCCUCAUGGCCGAGGGGUUUUUUGUGAACACUGGCCUCCCAGGUCCUACCCUGACACUCAAACUACUAUGCCCGACUGCCUGGACUCCUACCCAACUGCAAGCGCGGAGUUUAUUUCUUCUUCCUGCCCCAGCACAUGAACACCCAGCAACUCUGUCACCUAAAGCUGGCAAGCCCCUUGGCUUCUGGAGGAGGAGUUGAAAACCAGGAGGCCAUCUCCUCAUUCCCUGACUGUGGCCCAGGCUGACCAGGUUGCGAGAGCCCACGAAAGAGGCAGCCUGUUGCACCUCUGCAUGGGUCCCUGGGGCUGCCUGCCCUCCUCGUAGCUGCUGCACACAGAACAGUGAGUUGGUCAGCUUGCAUACGCCCCAAGGUGUCGCAUCUCAGGUUAAAGAGUGACCCAGCCCCCGGUUUUUUGGAAUACCAAAAGGUCCUGUCUGGCGUUCAUGGGAGUAUGGCAGACCCUCUCCUGGAGAAAGGCGCUCCAGCCAGCUCUUUUCUGCCCAGGAGGACUUGGCCUUCUCUGCCACAGAACCAAGAACACCAAAUCCCAUUUCAGGUGCCGAGCCGUCCAGGUCGGCCCUCAGGGGAGGCCGGCUUGGCUGAGGCCUCUGGGGCAGGCAGGAAGAGCAAGAGGCCAUCUCUUCACUGCUGCCUUCCCAGAAUAGCGAGCUGUCAAGGACAAAAAGAAAAAUGCCUGGAAUUUCCUUUCCUUUUGGAGCCAAGCCAGUCCAACGCCAAUAAUAAGCAUGUGUGCAUUUUUAAAAAAAGAACACAAUAGAAUAAGCUAAUCGGGGAAACGGAGAGAUAAAUUUGCCCUCCGGGAGUGCCUUCUGCAUUGAGCUGCCUUGCCAAAGCUGUGAUUUUGAGGGAAUGCGCAUUCAACUGAGAGAAGGGGAGGAAAUGUCGGGUCCGGUUCUGCCUCUGCUAGGGAGUGUGUGUCUGGCCUCGGGUGAGUCACCCCUCUCGGCCUCAGUUUCCCCACUGCAAAUGGUUCCCUGCUCCCCACGGCUGCAUGCCUGUUCCGAGUGCGGAAGAUGGAGGUUGUUGGAAAGCACUUUCGAAAAUUAAAAGAGAUAAAACAGCAA